AUUGAACGCUGGCGGCAUGCCUUACACAUGCAAGUCGAACGGCAGCACGGGAGCAAUCCUGGUGGCGAGUGGCGAACGGGUGAGUAAAGUAUCGGAACGUGCCCAGUCGUGGGGGAUAACGUAGCGAAAGUUACGCUAAUACCGCAUACGAUCUAUGGAUGAAAGCGGGGGGUCGCAAGACCUCGCGCGAUUGGAGCGGCCGAUAUCAGAUUAGGUAGUUGGUGGGGUAAAGGCUCACCAAGCCGACGAUCUGUAGCUGGUCUGAGAGGACGACCAGCCACACUGGGACGGAGACACGGCCCAGACUCCUACGGGAGGCAGCAGUGGGGAAUUUUGGACAAUGGGCGAAAGCCUGAUCCAGCCAUGCCGCGUGCAGGAUGAAGGCCUUCGGGUUGUAAACUGCUUUUGUACGGAACGAAAAGGUUUGGCCUAAUAAGCUGAGCUCAUGACGGUACCGUAAGAAUAAGCACCGGCUAACUACGUGCCAGCAGCCGCCGUAA
rnacentral:rRNA from 1 species